GACGGGAGGCUGCACUUGUAAUUCACAUCAGAUCAAGUUUGAUAAACGCAGCCCUCUGCCCCAAUUGGACGGCCCGGUCCACAAUAACCGCUCCUCUACCACCAUCUUUACACAAGUGUGUGUCUGUGUGCAGUGUGUAUCUGCGGUGUGUGCAGCGCAGUGUGUGUGUGUGUGUGUGCAUGUGUGUGUGUGAAGUGUGUACCGCGGUGCGGUAGCUGUUUGGCACAUCGACAGCCGCGACCACCACCACAUCUGGUCGCCUCCUUGCGCAUCAGAUCGUGUUCUCCAUGGUCCUCUCACGGCCGGUUCGGUGAGGAGUUGAUUCGAGCCGAGGGGGAUGAAGAUGCUGACCCGCGUCCGGGCGGCGGUGCUGCUCUGCUUGUGUUUCUGGGACGAAGCUCUCGCCGGAUUCCCCAAUCAAAUCAACAUCGGCGGGCUGUUCCUGCGCGCCACGGUCCAGGAGCACAGCGCGUUCCGCUUCUCCGUGCAGCUGUACAACACCAACCAGAACGCCACGGAGAAGCCCUUCCACCUCAACUACAACGUGGACAACCUCGAGUCCUCCAACAGCUUCUCCGUCACGCACGCAUUCUGCUCCCAGUUCGCGCGGGGCGUGUACGCCAUCUUCGGCUUCUACGACAGGAAGUCGAUGAACACGCUGACGUCGUUCUGCGGCGCGCUGCACACGUCGUUCAUCACGCCCAGCUUCCCCACCGACGCUGACGUGCAGUUCGUCAUCCAGAUGCGUCCCGGGCUGCGGGGGGCCGUGCUCAGCCUGCUGGCCCACUACAAGUGGGAGAAGUUCGUCUACCUCUACGACACCGACAGAGGCUUCGGCAUCCUGCAGGCCAUCAUGGAGUCGGCGGUGGCCAGCAACUGGCAGGUGACGGCGCGCUCCGUGGGCAACAUGGCCGACCCGGUGGAGUACCGGCGCAUCAUCGAGGAGAUGGACCGGCGCCAGGAGAAACGCUUCCUCAUCGACUGUGAGGUGGGCCGCAUCAGCGCCAUCCUGGAGCAGGUGGUGGUCCUGGGGAAGAACGGCAGGGGAUACCACUACAUCCUGGCUAACCUGGGUGUGUCCAACAUGAGUCUGGACCGCGUGGUCUCUGGAGGAGCCAACAUCACGGGCUUCCAGAUCAUCAGCCCAGAGAACCCCAUCGUCCAGCAGUUCGUCCAGCGCUGGGAGAAGCUGGACGAGAGGGAGUUCCCCGAGUCCCGCAGCGCCCCCCUCAAGUACACGUCUGCCCUGACCCACGACGCGGUGCUGGUGCUGUCGGAGGCCUUUCGGUACCUGCGGCGGCAGCGGGUGGACGUGUCCCGGAGGGGCAGCGCCGGGGACUGCCUGGCCAACCCCGCCGUGCCCUGGAGCCAGGGCAUCGACAUCGAGAGGGCCCUCAAGAUGGUACAGGUGACGGGCAUGACAGGGAACAUCCAGUUCGAUACGUUCGGCCGUAGAACCAACUUCACCAUCGACGUGUACGAGAUGAAGCUCGGAGGAGCGAGGAAGAUGGGCUACUGGAACGAGUACGAGAAGUUUGUGUACAUAGUGGACCCCCAGGUCACCAAUGAGUCCUCCUCUGUGGAAAACCGAACAAUUGUGGUCACUACUAUUAUGGAAGCGCCGUACGUCAUGUACAAGAGAAACUUUAUGCAGCUGGACGGGAACGACCGGUACGAGGGCUACUGCGUCGACCUGGCGUCAGAGAUCGCCAAGCACGUGGGGAUACGCUACAAGCUGUCCAUCGUGUCCGACGGCAAGUACGGCGCCCGGGACCCCGAGACGCGCACCUGGAACGGGAUGGUGGGUGAGCUGGUGUACGGGAGAGCCGACAUCGCCGUGGCCCCCCUGACCAUCACCCUGGUGCGCGAGGAGGUGAUCGACUUCUCCAAGCCCUUCAUGUCCCUGGGCAUCUCCAUCAUGAUCAAGAAGCCCCAGAAGUCCAAACCCGGCGUGUUCUCCUUCCUGGACCCGCUGGCCUACGAGAUCUGGAUGUGCAUCGUGUUCGCCUACAUCGGCGUCAGCGUGGUGCUCUUCCUGGUCAGCCGCUUCAGCCCCUACGAGUGGCACCUGGACGAGAGCGACGAGGCCAAAGACCCCCAGAGCCCGCCAGACCCUCCCAACGACUUUGGCAUUUUUAACAGCCUGUGGUUCUCGCUGGGCGCCUUCAUGCAGCAAGGAUGCGAUAUCUCUCCAAGGUCUCUUUCGGGGCGCAUCGUGGGGGGCGUGUGGUGGUUCUUCACCCUCAUCAUCAUCUCCUCCUACACGGCCAACCUGGCGGCCUUCCUCACCGUGGAGAGGAUGGUGUCGCCCAUCGAGAGCGCCGAGGACCUGGCCAAGCAGACGGAGAUCGCCUACGGGACGCUGGACUCCGGGUCCACCAAGGAGUUCUUCAGGCGCUCCAAGAUCGGCGUGUACGAGAAGAUGUGGUCCUACAUGAAGUCGGCCGAGCCGUCCGUCUUCGCCAAGACCACGCCGGACGGGGUGGCGCGCGUCCGCAAGUCCAAGGGGAAGUUCGCCUUCCUGCUGGAGUCCACCAUGAACGAGUACAUCGAGCAGAGGAAGCCCUGCGACACCAUGAAAGUGGGCGGGAACCUGGACUCCAAGGGUUACGGAGUGGCCACGCCCAAAGGGUCGGCAUUAAGAAAUGCUGUUAACCUGGCAGUGUUAAAACUGAACGAGCAGGGCCUGUUGGACAAACUGAAAAACAAAUGGUGGUACGACAAGGGGGAGUGUGGCAGCGGGGGAGGGGACUCCAAGAACUCCUGUAAACCUUGCGGUAUUGAAACUCAGUGAGCAAGGAGUCUUAGACAAGCUGAAAAACAAAUGGUGGUACGAUAAGGGGGAGUGUGGCACCAAAGACUCAGGAAGUAAGGUCAGUGUCUGCGGGAUGCACCUCAAAUGUUGACACGAUGAAUGCUUCUGUACGCAACACACCGUAAACCUUCACAUACUGCUGGCCUCACUGGGCACGCAACGUCUGCUCACACACCCCAAUGUAGCCUCACAUUUCUUAUUUAUCACCAGCAGACCGUUUUAUAUGAGACUACACAUUUAAUAACACCAUUAUUUGAUGCCUUUGACUGAAUUCAUAAGCAUAACAGUACAACAUGCUUUUUAAGAGUAGCAACCAUUAUACUGCUAUUUUGUUGACCAAACCUUUAUUGACAUUUUAUUUGUUGGUGUGUUUAAUCAUUUUACAGCAAUGUUCGUUUUUCUUACGUUUUAAAGGCGGAUAAUAAUCCGCCUUUAAAACGUGAAGAAAAUCCUAAAAUGACACUUUAACGUAAGAUUUUAGGAGACAAAUAUGGGAUUAGGAUUUGAACUAGGAAAGGCACUAGGAUGUGUGACUACAGCCACCAGUAGGGUUAGAUCACGUGAUAAAAACAAAAAUGGUAAAUUUCAUAAAUGAAAUUCAAUAUUAAUGUUUGGCUUUUAAUAUAAGUAAAUUGGUUCUACUCGCCUGUCAUCCACUGAAAGACAGGUUCAUUAAUUAACUGGUUUAAUAACCCCGUAGGAGUCGAGGGCCCCGACGUAAAAAAGUUGGGGGUCCCGCCAGGGGAGACUGCACUACACAUUAAGAGCCUUUCUCUCUACAUUCACCACUAGUCACUAGUUAUUAUUAAUCAUCACAACAUGACUGCUGUGCUCUGAGCGGCGGUAGUGGGUUCAUUACAGAGCAACUGGGGUGGGAGGGUUCGUUUAGACCGGGUUCCAUAGAGGGUUAAUAAGUCAGUUAGAUGUACUGUAGGUCGGUCAGACCGGGUUUAGGUAGAGGGUUAAUAAGGCAGUUAGGUUUACUGUUAGUCUAUUUAGACCGGGAGUAGCCUGAGUUAGGGGAGUUAACAAGGGGCCCAUGAGAAACCCUCAUCGCUUUGCUUUACCUUGUCGCCAGGACAAGACGAGCGCUCUGAGCCUCAGCAACGUGGCAGGGGUCUUCUACAUUCUGGUCGGGGGGCUGGGGCUGGCCAUGACCGUGGCGCUCAUCGAGUUCUGCUACAAGUCCCGGGAAGAAACCAAACGGCUGAAGCUGGCCAAGAACGCCCAGAACUUUAAACCGGCGCCUCCAGCCAACACGCAGAACUUCGCGACGUACCGGGAAGGCUACAACGUGUACGGAACCGAGAGCGUCAAGAUCUAGCCUCGAUUGGAAACGUCCCUCCUAAUGGUAUGGCUGGACCCUGAAAACACACACACACACACACACACACACACACACACACACACACACACACACACACACACACACACACACUACGGCUGGUCUGCUAGACGGCUCUGGACUUGGUGAAGCCUGCUGUCCGCACCGCUCCUCCUGACCUCCGUGGAGGUUGACGGGCGUACGGCGGGGAAUCGAACAUGCGAUCUGACUCUCGUAGUGCCUUACCGAACACGGCAUCAGGGCAAUGCAAACUUCACUUGGACUCACUCGACGAAGAGACAUUUCAGGACUAAUAAGUUGAGAUCGGUGGAAGACUUUAUAGGUUUUGUUUUCACGAAAAGCCAUCGGUCCUCGAUCUGAACAUUGUUGAACAUGUUGAAUAGUUUGAAUCCUCUGCAGACAUUUUUGUGGUGAAAACUUUUGAGUUUGGGUUUAACGUUAUACUUAGAGUAGUGAAGUCAUCUACUUAUUUUACAAUAAGGUUUUAUUUUCAGUGCUAUAUUAUAAUACAAUUUAAUUCAUAGACUAAGAUCAAUAAUAGUGAUGACAUGUUUUUUUUUAUUUUAUCGGAAGAUGUGAAUACUGAGACUGGGUGUCCACUCAAAUGGCUUUGGUCCUGCUCAUCCCUGAAGCCAAAGAAGAUAAUAUAAGUGCAGCUAUGAGAUACCUGGUUUAUACGUUCAGCAUCCAGCCCAGCGACAAACAUAAGACGGAAUCAUUCACGGCCAGGAGCUCUGAAAGAGCACUUGGAGGCGUCAUCCAAAAUAACACUGCAUUCUGUACAAAAUGUACUAUUACACAUUUAAUAAAGUUUAUAUUUAAUAUCUCUUCCACCCCCCAUAUGGAGUUGAAAAACCCCAUCUGCAGUGGAGUUUUGUAUAACAUUUCGUUGCGUUUGGGGUUGAACAUGAGGUGGAAGUAAAAUAUGUUUUAAAUGUUUAUCAAGAUAGAGAUAAAGAUGCUUCACAUAUACGGCUGAACCUUUUCUUUGUUUUGAUUUUCUCUCCCCAAGUUAAAUGCAUGUUGAACUGUUAAUGGCUUAACCAAACUGCACCGUAAAGUUAAAAGAUUAAAAAUCCCUCCCAAGUGGAACCGUUUCCAUUGCUAGCAGACGGAUGAGUGGCAUGUAGACACAGGACAGCCAAUGUACAAAUACUUUUAUUACAUUCUUUUCCUAAAUAAAAGUAACUUUUUGAUAUUUUGUUCUGUAUAUUUAUUGUUUGGUUGUAUUUAAUACCUGCUUACAUGUUUGAGUAAUUUCCACCAAAAUGUUUUGUGAAUUGAAAUUCUUAAAACUGACUUGCUUUAUAAGGCCCUUAGAUUAAAGGGUUGGAGAUUUUACAACUAAAUAAAUCUGCCUGGAUUUUUUCUUGUGUAAAUAAUAGGGCUCUUCCUGAUGAAUCUCCAAACCCUAGUUAUUAUACAAUGCAUAACAUUACAUUUAAAAUGUUAUCGUAUGCGUUCGUUGGUGCAAGAAUUUUUAUCACCAAGGAAACGUCACGGUGGUUUUACAAAAUAAAAGCAUGAGACCAGAUCAAAGUAACACUAAGAAAUUCAUUAUUUAUUGGUUUUAAAAAAGUGUACACGUGUUGAGUACAGCAGAUUAAAAACUCCAAAAAGUUACUUGAAACAGUUGCAAUCCAGUACAGAACUUUAGAAGUGGGGUUUUUGUAUUCUUUAUUUUACAAUUCGGCAUUUUCAGGGAGAAUGAAACUGGCAUUUUUUUUGUCAUUUUAUAAAUUAUGUAAAAACCUGAAAACACAAAUAAACAGUGAACAAAUUGUGACAUAAAUCAAAAAAAAACCAAACAAAAAAAAAA